UUAUGAGAUUUUGAGGCUACCUGAUUUUUGUAUUUAUGCAAAUAUCUGAAAAAAAGCUAUGUGGAUUUACUUUCUAUUUUUGCUCUUAAUAGCUAAGAAAUACCCUGGCAUUGUUGAAGAAAAAAAUCCUUCAGAGAAAAAAAAUCAUAUACAACACCAUUGAGCGCUCUGUUCAACGUGGAUUGGAGCCUGUUUAUAAAGAAGCCAGCAAUGAGAAAGGCAUAAACUGCAUUCAAAAAUUUAGAAUGAUGAUUGAAGAUGAAGUGAAACAAACCCAAGGCUACAUGUUCAAAGAGGCCAUGCACAAUGUGCUAACUGAGUUUACUAAACUAAAGGAUGAAGUGAAUGAAACUU